AGAUUGAAUCUGCAGGUCUAACUAUGGCCUAGUUAUCAGACCUUGAAGUUUCUUCAGCUCUUAUUAUGUUCUCUAUUUAAAAAAUUCUUUUUCAGAUGUUCCCUGGGUAUAGACUUUUUCUUUGGAAGACCUCCGGGACAAGGGUACUGUCUUCUCCAGCAGUCUCACACAGCAUUUGUACAAUGGCACAGAAAAACAGUUUUUAAAAAUUGAAGUACAGUUGAUUUGCAGUGUUAAACUAGUUUCAGGUAUA